AGCAGCCGCGGUAAUUCCAGCUCCAAUAGCGUAUAUUAAAGUUGUUGCAGUUAAAAAGCUCGUAGUUGAAUUUCGGGAUCAAUACGUCGGUCGUACCUCGGUACGUACUAACGUUAUUGAUUUCUCCCUUCUGACGAACCGUGAUGUCAUUAAUUUGGUGUUACGGGGAGUUAGGACUGUUACUUUGAAAAAAUUAGAGUGUUUAAAGCAAGCAAUCGCUCGAAUACAUUAGCAUGGAAUAAUGAAAUAGGACGUUCGAACCUAUUUUGUUGGUUUCUAGGAUCGACGUAAUGAUUAAUAGGGAUAGUUGGGGGCAUUAGUAUUCAAUUGUCAGAGGUGAAAUUCUUGGAUUUAUUGAAGACUAACUACUGCGAAAGCAUUUGCCAAGGAUGUUUCAUUAGUCAAGAACGAAGUUAGGGAUCGAAGACGAUCAGAUACCGUCGUAGUCUUAACCAUAACUAUGCCGACUAGGGAUCGGACGAUGUUAAUUUUUANGACUCAUUCGCGCUUACGGGGACCU
rnacentral:rRNA from 1 species